GACGAACGCUGGCGGCGUGCCUAAUGCAUGCAAGUCGCACGGUCGCCCUUCGGGGCGGCAGUGGCGCACGGCUGAGGAACACGUGGGGAUCGGCCCGUUCGUGGGGGACAACGCCGGGAAACCGGCGCUAAUCCCGCAUACGCUCGCCUUCGGGCGAGGAAAGCGCCUCGGCGCGCGGACGGACGACCCUGCGGCCCAUCAGGUUGUUGGCGGGGUAACGGCCCACCAAGCCACUGACGGGUAGCUGGUCUGGGAGGAUGACCAGCCAGACUGGGACUGAGACACGGCCCAGACUCCUACGGGAGGCAGCAGCAAGGAAUUUUCGGCAAUGGGCGCAAGCCUGACCGAGCAACGCCGCGUGGUGGAUGACGGCCUUCGGGUUGUAAACACCUUUUGGGGGGGAUGACAUCGACCGUACCCCCCGAACAAGCCCCGGCUAACUCUGUGCCAGCCGCCGCAGUAACAC
rnacentral:rRNA from 1 species